rnacentral:rRNA from 1 species
GAUCCUGGCUCAAGACGAACGCUGGCGGCGCGCCUAACACAUGCAAGUCGAACGAGCGAGAGAGAGCUUGCUUUCUCAAGCGAGUGGCGAACGGGUGAGUAACGCGUGAGGAACCUGCCUCAAAGAGGGGGACAACAGUUGGAAACGACUGCUAAUACCGCAUAAGCCCACGACCCGGCAUCGGGUAGAGGGAAAGGAAGCAAUCCGCUUUGAGAUGGCCUCGCGUCCGAUUAGCUAGUUGGUGG